rnacentral:rRNA from 1 species
UGGGGAAUUUUGGACAAUGGGCGAAAGCCUGAUCCAGCAAUGCCGCGUGUGUGAAGAAGGCCUUCGGGUUGUAAAGCACUUUUGUCCGGAAAGAAAUGGCUCUGGUUAAUACCUGGGGUCGAUGACGGUACCGGAAGAAUAAGGACCGGCUAACUACGUGCCAGCAGCCGCGGUAAUACGUAGGGUCCAAGCGUUAAUCGGAAUUACUGGGCGUAAAGCGUGCGCAGGCGGUUGUGCAAGACCGAUGUGAAAUCCCCGAGCUUAACUUGGGAAUUGCAUUGGUGACUGCACGGCUAGAGUGUGUCAGAGGGGGGUAGAAUUCCACGUGUAGCAGUGAAAUGCGUAGAGAUGUGGAGGAAUACCGAUGGCGAAGGCAGCCCCCUGGGAUAACACUGACGCUCAUGCACGAAAGCGUGGGGAGCAAACAGGAUUAGAUACCCUGGUAGUCCACGCCCUAAACGAUGUCAACUAGUUGUUGGGGAUUCAUUUCCUUAGUAACGUAGCUAACGCGUGAAGUUGGACCGCCUGGGGAGUACGGUCGCAAGAUUAAAAGCUCAAAUGAAUUGA